AGACGUAGGGGGCAAGCGUUGUCCGGAAUUACUGGGCGUAAAGGGUGCGUAGGCGGCAUUACAAGUCUGGAGUGAAAGCCCGGGGCUCAACCCCGGGACUGCUUUGGAAACUGUGGUGCUAGAGUGCAGGAGAGGUAAGUGGAAUUCCUAGUGUAGCGGUGAAAUGCAUAGAUAUUAGGAGGAACACCAGUGGCGAAGGCGACUUACUGGACUGUAACUGACGCUGAAGCACGAAAGCGUGGGGAGC
rnacentral:rRNA from 1 species